AGGAGCUUGAUGUCCUGGUGCAGGCAGGGCUGGCAGCAUUGGUGGCAGGCAGGGUGUGGGGCAGGUGGGACAUGGGGCAGGCAGGGCUGGCAGCAUUGGUGGCAGGCAGGGUGUGGGGCAGGUGGGACAUGGCGCAGGCAGGGCUGGCAGCGUUGGCAGUGCCAGGCAGGGGGUGGGCUUUGGGGCUGACACCCCACUGGGCACCCGUGGGUGGGUGUUGGGGCAGACUCCCAGCUGAGCACCCACGGGUGACACGCAGGGUGCCCUGGGCAAGCGUCGGGGCAGACACCGAACUGGGCACCCAUGGGUGCACCUCUGGGUGUCUUGGGCAGUCAUUGGGGCGGACUCCCAGCUGAGCACCCACGUGUGACAUGCAGGGUGCCCUGGGCAAGCGUCAGGGCAGACCCCCCGCCAAGCACCCACAGGUGGGCAUGGGGGCAGACCCCCAGCUGGGCACCCAUGGGUGCACCUCUGGGUGUCUUGGGUGGUCAUUGGGACAGACACCCAGCCCAGCACCCACGGGUGACACGCAGGGUGGCCUGGGCAAGCGUCGGGGCAGACCCUCAGCCGGGCGCCCAUGGGUGCACCUCUGGGUGUCUUAGGCAGUCAUUGGGGCAGACCCCCAGCCAAGAACCUAUGGGUGCACCUCUGGGUGUCUUAGGCAGUCGUUGGGGCAGACGCCCAGCCAAGAACCCAUGGGUGCACCUCUGGGUGUCUUGGACAGUCAUUGGGGCAGAUGCCCAGCCUGGCACCCACGGGUGACACGCAGGGUGCCCCGGGCAAGCGUCGGGGCAGACCCCCAGCUGGACACCCACGGGUGGGCGUUGAGGCAGACCCCCAACUGGGCUUGCCCUUGGGCAAGCAUCGGGGCAGACCCCCCCCACCCACACACCCCGAGCCGGAUGCCCCCGGCUGAGCACCCAUGGGUGCCCGCAGCCAUCUACCUGCUGUACGCCAAGCUGGAGGAGGACUUUGGGCUGGCGCGCCACGCCAUGGCCGUGUACGAGCGGGCCACGCGGGCCGUGCUGCCUGCCGAGCAGUACGACAUGUUCAACAUCUACAUCAAGCGGGCGGCCGAGAUCUACGGCGUCACCCACACCCGGCCCAUCUACGAGAAGGCCAUCGAGGUGCUGGCCGACGAGCACGCCCGGGAGAUGUGCCUGCGCUUCGCCGACAUGGAGUGCAAGCUGGGCGAGAUCGACCGGGCCCGCGCCAUCUACGGCUACUGCUCGCAGAUCUGCGACCCUCGCGUGAGUCCCCGGCGGCGGGUGCCACGUCCCGGGCGGGCAGCGGGUGUCACCGGGCCCCGCCACGCCGACGGGGACGUGGGGCACGGCGGAGGCUGGGCGGUGCGGGUGCCUCGGGCCACCCCGGUGUGCCCACGGGGGUGACCGGUGGCAGCGGUGUGGCCAGCGCUGUAUCGGUACCGGUGCUAGGGGUGGCCCUGGUGCCACGUGGGUGCUCGGUGACUGGUGGGGUGCCUGGGGUCAGGGGUGGCCCCGGUGCCACGUGGGUGCCCAGUGCUCAGGGAUGUCUCCAAUGUCACGUGGCUGCCCAGGCAUGUCCCCAAUGUCACUUGGGUGCCCAGGGCCCAGCAGGGUGCCCAGUGCCAGGGAUGUCCCCAAUGCCACAUGGGUGCCUGGUGCCCAGCAGAUGCCCAGUGCUCAGGGUUGUCCCCAAUGCCAUGUGGGUGCCUGGUGUCAGCGAUGUCGCCAGUGUCACAUGGGUGCCCAGUGUCACAUGGAUGCCCAGUGCCCAGCAGGGUGCMUGGUGCCAAGGAUGUCCCCAAUGUCACAUGGGUGCCCASUGCCCAGGGAUGUCCCCAGUGUCAUGUGGGUGCCUAGUGCCCAGGGUUGUCCCCAGUGCCAUGUGGGUGUCCAGUGUCAGGGAUG
rnacentral:lncRNA from 1 species